AGGGGUGUAGCUCAAUUGGUAGAGUAGCGGACUCCAAAUCCGUUGGUUGCGGGUUCGAAUCCUGCCACCCCUG
rnacentral:tRNA from 1 species